UCAUUAAUGCAUUCAUAUUUGGUCAUGUGGGUAAAAGUAAACAAGUCAUGUAAUUGCUUAAAAUAAACCAAUACGUACACAUAUUCCACUUUCUUGUAAUCAAAUUCACACCAAACUUUUUUUUAUUUUCGUCUCUUCUUUGCACCAGAUUAGUUACUGAUGUAAGUACAUACUGCUGUAACAAACAGCAAUACUGUAUAUCACAUGCAGAGACAUUCAUUGCAUUCGAAUCACUUUCUGUGAAUUUAAAACCAAACUCCUCUUUAUAUCAGAAAGCGAUCUAGCUGGCUCGCUGUUCAGGUGAGAGGUUCUACCAAGUUGCCCGGAGGGGUACCAAGAAAAACUGUAAAGUCACCAUGUAACCUAUUAUUGUGCUGAUGUGACGUUAAAUCUAACAAGAAUAAACAAAUACAAUGAGGGAUAAAAACGUAAAUUUCGCAACGAGAUAAAUAACAUUCUGCCAAUCUAUUAUCUUGUUGUUUUAGAUUCAUCUCAGAAGAGAUCCAAGUCGGCUGGAAAUAUCUCACCACGAGCUGAUGUAUCAAUAAGAGCAACAUCUAUCAAGCGAGCAAUGUCAGCUCAAGACCGUUGUUUAGAUGAUUUUAUUGCGGAAAUGAGUGAGCUUGAUCUUCAGCAAGGGCGAUUAACAACGGAUGAAAUUUCACCUAUACCAAAGGAAAAGCAUACUGUUAUAAAGCAGCCAUAUACAAUCAUAAAAAGAUCGUCCGAGAAAGAAAAUGUUUCUCAUAGUAUGAACGGAGGGGGAAAAGUGCUUCAG